rnacentral:rRNA from 1 species
UACGUAGGGGGCAAGCGUUGUUCGGAAUUACUGGGCGUAAAGCGCGCGUAGGCGGUUUGAAAAGUCAGAUGUGAAAGCCCCGGGCUCAACUUGGGAACUGCAUUUGAUACUGUCAGACUAGAGUACAGAAGAGGUGACUGGAAUUCCCAGUGUAGCGGUGAAAUGCGUAGAUAUUGGGAGGAACACCAGAUGCGAAGGCGGGUCACUGGGCUGAUACUGACGGCUGAAGUGCGAAAGCCAGGGGAGCGAACGGG